AAUGAACGCUGGCGGCAUGCCUAACACAUGCAAGUCGAACGAGAGCUCCGGGACCUGGGGCGUAUGGGUGUGUAACGCGAGGGAACCUGCCCUUAGGUUUGGAAUAACUCUCCGAAAGGGGUGCUUAUACCGGACAAGGUCUUCGGACCAAAGAUUUAUUGACUUUGGAUGGGCGUGCGUUGGAUUAGCUAGUUGGUAGGGUAAAAGCCUACCAAGGCGACGAUUCAUAGCUGGUCUGAGAGGAAGAUCAGCGACACUGAGACUGAGACACGGCCUAGACUCCUACGGGAGGCGGGAGUGGGGGAUGUUGGACAGUGGGCGGAGGCCUGAUCCAGCAAUGACGCGUGAGUGAUGAAGGCCGUGGGGAUGUAAAGCUCUAUUACCCGGGAUGAUAAUGACGGUACCGAGAGAAUAAGCCCCGGCUAACUCCGUG
rnacentral:rRNA from 1 species